UCUGAGGUGUGUGGCAGUCAUCUGAAGCUCCAGCACACUACUGCAGAUAAAGGGAUACUGUAAGUAGUCCAACAACAAUCAGCUGAGACAAUUAACUCACCUGGCACUGCUCUCCUGAUCCAUCCCCACACCUAUCUCCACUGCAGCUGAUUACAGACCACGCCCACCUCCACAUGCAGGGGUUUAUAGCUGAGAUGAUGGAG